rnacentral:rRNA from 1 species
CCUCACCGGUUACUGACCUUAGCCAAACUCCGAAUGCCGGUAAGUGAGAGCGUGGCAGUGAGACUGUGGGGGAUAAGCUCCAUGGUCGAGAGGGAAACAGCCCAGAACACCGACUAAGGUCCCUAAGCGUGUGCUAAGUGGGAAAGGAUGUGGAGUCGCACAGACAACCAGGAGGUUGGCUUAGAAGCAGCCAUCCUUGAAAGAGUGCGUAAUAGCUCACUGGUCAAGUGAUUCCGCGCCGACAAUGUAGCGGGGCUCAAGCACACCACCGAAGUCGUGUCAUUGCAGCAUGAAGGGCCAACGCCUGCUGUGAUGGGUAGGGGAGCGUCGUGUGCCGGGUGAAGCAGCGGAGGAAUCCAGUUGUGGACGGUUCACGAGUGAGAAUGCAGGCAUGAGUAGCGAUACAAGAGUGGGAAACUCUUGCGCCGAUUGACCAAGGGUUCCUGGGUCAAGCUGAUCUGCCCAGGGUAAGUCGGGACCUAAGGCGAGGCCGACAGGCGUAGUCGAUGGACAGCGGGUUGAUAUUCCCGUACCCGCUUUGAAGCGCCAACGUCGAACCUCUGAAUGCUAAAGCCGCGAAGCCGGCCUGGAGUCUUCGGACGAAGGGACGUGGUGGAGCCGCUGACCCAACAGGGUAGUAGGUGAGCGAUGGGGUGACGCAGGAAGGUAGUCCAGCCCGGGCGGUGGUUGUCCCGGGGUAAGGGUGUAGGCCGAGUGAUAGGCAAAUCCGUCACUCAUUGAGGCUGAGACCUGAUGCCGAGCCGAUUGUGGUGAAGUGGAUGAUCCUAUGCUGUCGAGAAAAGCCUCUAGCGAGUUUCAUGGCGGCCCGUACCCCAAACCGACUCAGGUGGUCAGGUAGAGAAUACCGAGGCGUUCGGGUGAACUAUGGUUAAGGAACUCGGCAAAAUGCCCCCGUAACUUCGGGAGAAGGGGGGCCACACCUGGUGAUGGGAUUUACUUCCUGAGCUGGGGGUGGCCGCAGAGACCAGCGAGAAGCGACUGUUUACUAAAAACACAGGUCCGUGCGAAGCCGUAAGGCGAUGUAUACGGACUGACGCCUGCCCGGUGCUGGAACGUUAAGGGGACCGGUUAGUCUAGUUUCGACUAGGCGAAGCUGAGAACUUAAGCGCCAGUAAACGGCGGUGGUAACUAUAACCAUCCUAAGGUAGCGAAAUUCCUUGUCGGGUAAGUUCCGACCUGCACGAAUGGCGUAACGACUUCUCGACUGUCUCAACCAUAGGCCCGGUGAAAUUGCAUUACGAGUAAAGAUGCUCGUUUCGCGCAGCAGGACGGAAAGACCCCGGGACCUUUACUAUAGCUUGAUAUUGGUGUUCGGUUCGGCUUGUGUAGGAUAGGUGGGAGACUGUGAAGCGGCAACGCCAGUUGUCGUGGAGUCGACGUUGAAAUACCACUCUGGUCGUGCUGGAUGUCUAACCUAGGUCCGUGAUCCGGAUCAGGGACAGUGUCUGGUGGGUAGUUUAACUGGGGCGGUUGCCUCCUAAAGAGUAACGGAGGCGCCCAAAGGUUCCCUCAGCCUGGUUGGCAAUCAGGUGUUGAGUGUAAGUGCACAAGGGAGCUUGACUGUGAGACCGACGGGUCGAGCAGGUGCGAAAGCAGGGACUAGUGAUCCGGCGGUGGCUUGUGGAAGCGCCGUCGCUCAACGGAUAAAAGGUACCCCGGGGAUAACAGGCUGAUCUUCCCCAAGAGUCCAUAUCGACGGGAUGGUUUGGCACCUCGAUGUCGGCUCGUCGCAUCCUGGGGCUGGAGUAGGUCCCAAGGGUUGGGCUGUUCGCCCAUUAAAGCGGUACGCGAGCUGGGUUUAGAACGUCGUGAGACAGUUCGGUCCCUAUCCGCUGUGCGCGUAGGAAUAUUGAGAAGGGCUGUCCCUAGUACGAGAGGACCGGGACGGACGAACCUCUGGUGUGCCAGUUGUCCUGCCAAGGGCAUGGCUGGUUGGCUACGUUCGGGAGGGAUAACCGCUGAAAGCAUCUAAGCGGGAAGCCUGCUUCGAGAUGAGUAUUCCCACCUCCUUGAGAGGGUAAGGCUCCCAGUAGACGACUGGGUUGAUAGGCCGGAUGUGGAAGCCCAGUAAUGGGUGGAGCUGACCGGUACUAAUAGGCCGAGGGCUUGUCCU